AUUGAGGAAGAUUUUCUGGGAAAUUUGUGGGAGAUUUUCUUUAUGAAAAUAGGGGAAAUCUUGAGAGUUUUUGCCAGUGUUAAUGAGAAGAAUAUAGUUGACUCCAAAAUUUAUCGAUUAUAUUUUAGUCUGGACUUUUGCUCACUCGAAUUCGUCUAGUUGAUGUCUUCUUGAAGUGGUUCACUUGCGUGGAAAUCCUUUCCUCUUUGAAGAUCGUUGCUGCCUUCAUUUCGUUGCAUCCUAAAAGAACAAGCCCGUUUCAGAGUCGUCGUAUAGGCCCCGAGUUAAAAGAAUUUGGAGCAAAUCAA
rnacentral:misc_RNA from 1 species